CGUAUGCAAUCUACCUUUCACAGAGGGAUAGCCCAGAGAAAUUUGGGAUUAAUACCUCAUAGUAUAGCAGUUUCGCAUGAAACCACUAUUAAAGUUCCAACGGUGAAAGAUGAGCAUGCGUCCCAUUAGCUAGAUGGUAAGGUAACGGCUUACCAUGGCUACGAUAGGUAGGGGGUCCUGAGAGGGAGAUCCCCCACACUGGUACUGAGACACGGACCAGACUCCUACGGGAGGCAGCAGUGAGGAAUAUUGGACAAUGGGCGCAAGCCUGAUCCAGCCAUGCCGCGUGCAGGAAGAAGCAUCUAUGGUGUGUAAACUGCUUUUGUACAGGAAGAAACACUACUUCGUGAAGUAGCUUGACGGUACUGUAUGAAUAAGGACCGGCUAACUCCGUG
rnacentral:rRNA from 1 species